AUACGGAGGGUGCAAGCGUUACUCGGAAUCACUGGGCGUAAAGCGCGCGCAGGCGGGCUGAUAAGUUGGAUGAGAAAGCCUACGGCUCAACCGUAGAACUGCAUCCAAAACUGUCAGUCUAGAGUGUGGGAGAGGAAGAUGGAAUUAGUUGUGUAGGGGUAAAAUCCGUAGAGAUAACUAGGAAUACCAAAAGUGAAGGCAAUCUUCUGGAACACUACUGACGCUGAGGCGCGAAGGCGUGGGGAGCAAACAGGAUUAGAAACCCCAGUAGUCC
rnacentral:rRNA from 1 species